CGCGGGGUGGAGCAGCUUGGUAGCUCGUCGGGCUCAUAACCCGAAGGUCGUUGGUUCAAAUCCGGCCCCCCGCAACCA
rnacentral:tRNA from 1 species